rnacentral:lncRNA from 1 species
AGAGAAGUAUUUUUCUAUGGCAAAGUACAAGAUUAUCAUUUAAUAUUAAAAAAAAAAAAUAGAAGCUAUACAUCAAUACAUUUCCAGCGAGGAAAUGAGGUUGUUUGUUAACCAUUCAUGCUACAUGUAAUGUAUUCACGAUCUUCAUGAUUUGCAUAGCUUGAACCAUGCUAUAUAACAUAGCGUAUGCAGGAAAUUUGUCUUUUUACAACUACAAACUAUUCAAGGAGGAAGGAACUAUUCAAGCACAUACAGAAAUAAUUAUUUAGUUUUAGAAUGUGAAAGAAGAAACUUAAGUUCCAUCUGCAUUUUUAUUGUAAUUAAUCCUUCAAAAAGAGCAUAAAUCACAUUACAUAUCAUACUUCAUAUAGCAAUAAAAUCAUCAAGUCAGGAUACCCCUCCUUAUGCAGCUCGCCCCAGACGCACCGGAUAAACUAGGAGUUAGAAUAAACAGAAGGCUACAUACUUAUCCAAUUACCCCCCCCCCCUCCUCUGGCCAGCCCCACACCCAGAAUGAGAAGUGACCACCUGCUAAAAGCAAGGUCAGGUUACAACCACUUGUAUUGCCUUCCGCUGGUAACCAGUCUCACCCAACAUGUUUUAUAGUUCCAUGCACGGCAUGUACAUGUACACACGACCUUGCAUACCAGUCAGUACCAGAACAGAAACUGCCUGUGUAGCAGAUUUGAAUUCAGUCAGUUGGACCAAAGUGGACCAUGGAGCUAUGGUGGGAAGGAUCGAGGAAUGGGUUUGCUGGAAACAAAAAAUACAUGUAUUGUCAUGAUUGUACUUGUUUGUACAAGAAGUUUGAGAUGAAAUUGCUCAAACCAUGAAUGUUGGCAGUAAAAGGCAUGCCUAUGGAAACUUUCAAGAAUUAAUUGCUGUUCUUGCAAACACAUUUGAUGGAGAUUUUACUGUGUGCCUCCAUGGUCAUGGUGUAAUGUUGCCUACAUCUCCGGAUGAUCAUGAUUUGCACGGUGCUGUACUACUCUGCUAGAAUUACGGAAGACGUGAUCAGGUCUGGGGGAAAACGAUGGUGACUGACUUCCUCAAAUGAUACAUCUAGAAUUCUACAUCUACCUGUCUCCAUGAUCCUUUGCGCUAUGCAUGGAUAUGAUCUACCAAAAACUACCGAGAUGAGCUGCAGUAUGUGCAUGUACAAGACAAAGACUGUCUGACUGCUUCUGCCCCGGCUCUGCAAAUUGGAGGCAGCGGCAUGCAACAAGCAGUUGGAAUCAUCAUCCUAUCUACAAGAUGUCAGUUCCGGAAACUACAAUGGACAUUACUUUUAAAAAGAUUAUCAUAAAGUUUGUUCAAUACAUACACACAUGAACAUGCAAAUGAUAUACAGGUAUGUCACAGCUUGAUAGAAUGACUCUUGGAAAUUACGAUCAGUACUUUCCUUCAAACUUCCAAUUCUAGUUGUCAAACGUGUCUGAAUACCAUUGCCUUUCAACAAAGCUCUAUGCAUGGUUUUACAAACUGAAUAUAGGCAUGGAUUGUUGCAACCAUCACAAGUCUUUCAUGCAUGUGUCUUUCUUGCCAAAUUUAUAGUAUCCCUCUCAGGAAAACAAUUCAUAUAAAAAUGUGUUUAUUUUACUUUUUUUAGCCCAACUUCUGCUAUUUUUUUCACCACAUUAACCGUGUACACUGUACAGACUGUGUUCAUUAUUGGUGCCUUUGAUUUAAUACACUGCACUGGAAAGAUAUCUGCUCAUCCCCUACAUGCACAAAUUUGUAAAUUCAGAAGAUUUUUUUUUUUAAAAGAACAGAAUAUGUCUGUCCAACUGUAAUUGUGUCAUGGUUGUUUUCCUGAUUUUAUUUAGAAUAAAGAGUAACGCCAUGGUAAUGUCA